rnacentral:lncRNA from 1 species
GCUGCACUGGCCGCCGGAGUUGGGGCGAGCUCGGCGGUGACGUGGGGUGCUCACGUGAUCGCGAGCUGCAGAGCGACGCAGCCUUCGGUGCAGUCGUCACUCCUGUCUGGGUACCAGCUCCCCACUCCCCUGCGCACGGCGGGUUGGCAUCAGGCCCGCAGCAAGCGGAGCAGGUCUGCCGAACCAAGUGUGGCGGCGGCACAACUGGACUUCUACCUCAAGAUUU